rnacentral:rRNA from 1 species
GUGUCAGCAGCCGCGGUAAUACGAAGGGUGCAAGCGUUAUUCGGAUUUAUUGGGCGUAAAGGGUGCGUAGGCGGCAUAUUAAGUCAAUUGUUAAAUUCUUCGGCCUAACCGAAGGUCAGCGGUAGAUACUGAUAUGCUAGAGGAUGGAAGAGAGAAGUGGAAUUCUUGGAGUAGCGGUAAAAUGCGUAGAUCUCAAGAGGAACACCGAUGGCGAAGGCAGCUUCUUGGUCCAUAUCUGACGCUCAAGCACGAAAGCGUGGGGAGCAAACAGGAUUAGAUACCCUGGUAGUCCACGCUGUAAACGAUGAUCACUAGAUGUUGGUCUUGCUUUGCAAGAUUGGUGUCGUAGCUAACGCGCUAAGUGAUCCGCCUGGGGAGUACGGUCGCAAGAUUAAA